rnacentral:rRNA from 1 species
UACGUAGGGUGCGAGCGUUGUCCGGAAUUAUUGGGCGUAAAGGGCUCGUAGGCGGUCUGUUGCGUCAGGAGUGAAAACUCGGGGCUUAACCCCGAGCCUGCUUCUGAUACGGGCAGACUAGAGGUAUGCAGGGGAGAACGGAAUUCCUGGUGUAGCGGUGAAAUGCGCAGAUAUCAGGAGGAACACCGGUGGCGAAGGCGACAUCCUGGACCGGUAUUGACGCUGAGUGAGCGAAAGCCAGGGGAGCAAACGGG